CCCGGGCCAAUCUCCUGUGUUGGAGUCUUGUCUUCUUCUCAGUGUCCUGGUUGCUUGCAGCGAAGGUGGGGGCAAGAGAAGAGCCCAGUAUGUGUCCAUUCUGUUUGUUUUAUAUCCUCAGUCCAUGUGCUUGAGGAGCACAAGUCCAGGCAUGUCUGGGGGGCUUUGCCGAGUCUUUCCAAGCAAGGUUGAGCAAUUCCCCUGGUGUGGCCUCAUGCAGGUGAAUCAUUGCAUUGUAGCUCCCUUGCUGGACAAGGGCUGUUGUUGGGUUAUUUGACACCCUGCCUGGGCGUUGGUUACUUUCCUUGCUGCUGCCUCUGGGGGCGAA